UACGUAGGGUGCAAGCGUUAAUCGGAAUUACUGGGCGUAAAGCGUGCGCAGGCGGUUCUAUAAGACAGAUGUGAAAUCCCCGGGCUCAACCUGGGAACUGCAUUUGUGACUGUAGAGCUGGAGUGCGGCAGAGGGGGAUGGAAUUCCGCGUGUAGCAGUGAAAUGCGUAGAUAUGCGGAGGAACACCGAUGGCGAAGGCCAAUCCCCUGGCCAACACUGACGCUCCAGUGCACGAAAGCGUGGGGAGCAAACAGG
rnacentral:rRNA from 1 species